GGAGGUAUAGCUCAGUGGUAGAGUGCAUGCUUAGCAUGCAUGACGUCCUGGGUUCAAUCCCCACUACCUCCA
rnacentral:tRNA from 1 species